GAUGAACGCUGGCGGCGUGCCUAAUACAUGCAAGUCGAGCGAACAGACGAGGAGCUUGCUCCUCUGACGUUAGCGGCGGACGGGUGAGUAACACGUGGAUAACCUACCUAUAAGACUGGGAUAACUUCGGGAAACCGGAGCUAAUACCGGAUAAUAUAUUGAACCGCAUGGUUCAAUAGUGAAAGACGGUUUUGCUGUCACUUAUAGAUGGAUCCGCGCCGCAUUAGCUAGUUGGUAAGGUAACGGCUUACCAAGGCAACGAUGCGUAGCCGACCUGAGAGGGUGAUCGGCCACACUGGAAAUGAGACACGGUCCAGACUCCUACGGGAGGCAGCAGUAGGGAAUCUUCCGCAAUGGGCGAAAGCCUGACGGAGCAACGCCGCGUGAGUGAUGAAGGUCUUCGGAUCGUAAAACGCUGUUAUUAGGGAAGAACAAAUGUGUAAGUAACUAUGCACGUCUUGACGGUACCUAAGCAGAAAGCCACGGCUAACUACGU
rnacentral:rRNA from 1 species